rnacentral:rRNA from 1 species
UAGGGAAUCUUCCACAAUGGGCGCAAGCCUGAUGGAGCAACACCGCGUGAGUGAAGAAGGGUUUCGGCUCGUAAAGCUCUGUUGUUAAAGAAGAACANCUAUGAGAGUAACUGUUCAUACGUUGACGGUAUUUAACCAGAAAGUCACGGCUAAAUACGUGCCAGCAGCCGCGGUAAUACGUAGGUUGCAAGCGUUAUCCGGAUUUAUUGGGCGUAAAGAGAGUGCAGGCGGUUUUCUAAGUCUGAUGUGAAAGCCUUCGGCUUAACCGGAGAAGUGCAUCGGAAACUGGAUAACUUGAGUGCAGAAGAGGGUAGUGGAACUCCAUGUGUAGCGGUGGAAUGCGUAGAUAUAUGGAAGAACACCAGUGGCGAAGGCGGCUACCUGGUCUGCAACUGACGCUGAGACUCGAAAGCAUGGGUAGCGAACAGGAUUAGAUACCCUGGUAGUCCAUGCCGUAAACGAUGAGUGCUAGGUGUUGGAGGGUUUCCGCCCUUCAGUGCCGGAGCUAACGCAUUAAGCACUCCGCCUGGGGAGUACGACCGCAAGGUUG